AACGAACGCUGGCGGCAGGCUUAACACAUGCAAGUCGAGCGCCCCGCAAGGGGAGCGGCAGACGGGUGAGUAACGCGUGGGAAUCUACCCAUCUCUACGGAAUAACGCAUGGAAACGUGUGCUAAUACCGUAUACGUCCUUCGGGAGAAAGAUUUAUCGGAGAUGGAUGAGCCCGCGUUGGAUUAGCUAGUUGGUGGGGUAAAGGCCUACCAAGGCGACGAUCAUAGCUGGUCUGAGAGGAUGAUCAGCCACACUGGGACUGAGACACGGCCCGGACUACGACGGGGGGCAGCAGUGGGGAAUAUUGGACAAUGGGCGCAAGCCUGAUCCAGCCAUGCCGCGUGAGUGAUGAAGGCCCUAGGGUUGUAAAGCUCUUUCACCGGUGAAGAUAAUGACGGUAACCGGAGAAGAAGCCCCGGCUAACUUCGUGCCAGCCGCCGCGGUAAGAC
rnacentral:rRNA from 1 species